UACGAAGGGUGCAAGCGUUAAUCGGAAUUACUGGGCGUAAAGCGUGCGUAGGCGGUUUGUUAAGUCUGCUGUGAAAUCCCCGGGCUCAACCUGGGAAUGGCAGUGGAUACUGGCAAGCUAGAGUGUGUCAGAGGAUGGUGGAAUUCCCGGUGUAGCGGUGAAAUGCGCAGAUAUCAGGAGGAACACCAGCGGCGAAGGCGGUGCUCUGGGCCGGAACUGACACUGAGGAGCGAAAGCGUGGGUAGCAAACAGG
rnacentral:rRNA from 1 species